AGUAUAUUAUUAUGCAUAUGAAACAUAUCAACUAUAACGUGACAUUAUGUAAUUUUACACAAAGGAUGGUUUUGCUAGUUGUUAUUAGAAAUUCCUAGUUAAUGAUAGCAGGAAUAUAACUUUUUUAACACAGUGGAUUUUCCACAGCGUGUUAAAAGCUUCACAGUUAAUUCUGCUUCCAUAAGUAUUUGCGUCACAGGACACACUCUAUAUACAAUACACAACCUUAUGAUUGUUGGAUCGAUUGCUGGGGUUUUUUUUUUUUUUUUUUUUAAACAAGCUUAUGAGAAGCAAUAUGCCUCAAAACAGAAAUGAGCUUUUGAAGAUAAUGCAUUCAAAUAUUAAUCCUUGGACAGAUGAAGAUAACAAUGAAAAUUUAAUAACUAAGGUACAGCUAAUUUAUUUUAUGGAGCCUGUGUUUAAUAUAUGAUGUUGGCAAUGUUAGCUUUGGGUAUAUUUGCUUUUGGGCUGUUGUGAUUACUGUAGUUCUCUGACUUCCCUGAAGUUCAUGUUCUCUGAACACGUAAGUAAAUAAUUUUCCCCCACAGUAAACUAGAUGACAGCACUGAAGAAGCAAUUUGGGAUCCACCAGAUUUGUCCAAGUGUGAGAAAGUUUUGACAGACAUCAAUGAUUUAGAAAGUGUCACAGUUACAGCAAGCAAUUCGGCUGAUAUUGUGGACAUGAUUGAAAAUUUGCUGCAGAACCAGACAGACUUGAAUACAUCUCAGCUGAACACUCUGUUGCAGAAAUUGUCUGAUGUCGCACAUGUCGGUAUCAUGACCACUCAGUUGGCAAACAACAUUAUAAGCGUGGUUUCAGAUCUCUGUGUUUUCACAUCUUUUCUUGCUGAAGCCACGAAUAACAUCAGUACAAUGAUUUGGAUAGUGUCACAGAAUUCUCUCUAU